rnacentral:rRNA from 1 species
UACGAGGGGGGCGAGCGUUGUUCGGAAUUAUUGGGCGUAAAGGGUGCGUAGGCGGCCUGACAAGUCUGAUGUGAAAUCCCUGGGCUCAACCCAGGGCCUGCAUCGGAAACUGUCGGGCUUGAGUAUGAGAGAGGUGAGUGGAAUUUCCGGUGUAGCGGUGAAAUGCGUAGAUAUCGGAAGGAACACCUGUGGCGAAAGCGGCUCACUGGACCAUUACUGACGCUGAGGCACGAAAGCUAGGGGAGCAAACAGG